rnacentral:rRNA from 1 species
AGUGGGGAAUCUUGCACAAUGGAGGAAACUCUGAUGCAGCGACGCCGCGUGAGCGAUGAAGCCCUUCGGGGUGUAAAGCUCUUUCGACAGGAACGAUAAUGACGGUACCUGGAGAAGAAGCUGCGGCUAACUACGUGCCAGCAGCCGCGGUAAUACGUAGGCAGCAAGCGUUGUUCGGAAUUACUGGGCGUAAAGAGUGUGUAGGCGGUGCUCUAAGUUCGUUGUGAAAUCUCCCGGCUUAACUGGGAGGGUGCGGCGGAAACUGGAGUGCUUGAGCGCGGGAGAGGAAAGCGGAAUUCCUGGUGUAGCGGUGAAAUGCGUAGAUAUCAGGAGGAACACCUGUGGUGUAGACGGCUUUCUGGACCGUAGCUGACGCUGAGACACGAAAGCGUGGGUAGCAAA